UAGGGAAUCUUCGGCAAUGGACGGAAGUCUGACCGAGCAACGCCGCGUGAGUGGAGAAGGUUUUCGGAUCGUAAAGCUCUGUUGUAAGAGAAGAACGAGUGUGAGAGUGGAAAGUUCACACUGUGACGGUAUCUUACCAGAAAGGGACGGCUAACUACGUGCCAGCAGCCGCGGUAAUACGUAGGUCCCGAGCGUUGUCCGGAUUUAUUGGGCGUAAAGCGAGCGCAGGCGGUUAGAUAAGUCUGAAGUUAAAGGCUGUGGCUUAACCAUAGUACGCUUUGGAAACUGUUUAACUUGAGUGCAAGAGGGGAGAGUGGAAUUCCAUGUGUAGCGGUGAAAUGCGUAGAUAUAUGGAGGAACACCGGUGGCGAAAGCGGCUCUCUGGCUUGUAACUGACGCUGAGGCUCGAAAGCGUGGGGAGCAAACAGGAUUAGAUACCCUGGUAGUCCACGCCGUAAACGAUGAGUGCUAGGUGUUAGACCCUUUCCGGGGUUUAGUGCCGUAGCUAACGCAUUAAGCACUCCGCCUGGGGAGUACGACCGCAAGGUUG
rnacentral:rRNA from 1 species